GGAGGGUUGUCCGAGUGGUCGAAGGAGCACGCCUGGAAAGUGUAAGUCGAAGGCUUCGGGGGUUCGAAUCCUCCCCUCCGCCA
rnacentral:tRNA from 1 species